GCCAGCAUGGUGUAGUGGUUUGAGCGCUGGACUAUGACUCUGGAGACCAGAGUUCGAAUCCUGGCUUGGGCA